GUGCUCGCUUCCUUGGCAGUACAUAUGCUAAAAUUGGAAUGAUACAGAGAUGAUUAGCACGGCUCCUGCAGAAGUAUGAAAUCUGUGAAGUGUUCCAUAUUUUU